rnacentral:misc_RNA from 1 species
GAAAUGCGAUAAUUAAUGUGAAUUGCAGAAUUCAGUGAAUCAUCGAGUCUUUGAACGCACAUUGCGCCCCCUGGUAUUCCGGGGGGCAUGCCUGUCCGAGCGUCAUUGCUGCCCUCAAGCACGGCUUGUGUGUUGGGCUUCCGUCCCUGGCAACGGGGACGGGCCCAAAAGGCAGUGGCGGCACCAUGUCUGGUCCUCGAGCGUAUGGGGCUUUGUCACCGCUCCCGUAGGUCCAGCUGGCAGCUAGCCUCGCAACCAAUCUUUUUAACCAGGUUGACCUCGGAUCAGGUAGGGAUACCCGCUGAACUUAAGA